UACGUAGGUGGCAAGCGUUGCUCGGAAUCACUGGGCGUAAAGGGUGCGUAGGCGGGUCUUUAAGUCAGAGGUGAAAUCCUGGAGCUCAACUCCAGAACUGCCUUUGAUACUGAAGAUCUUGAGUUCGGGAGAGGUGAGUGGAACUGCGAGUGUAGAGGUGAAAUUCGUAGAUAUUCGCAAGAACACCAGUGGCGAAGGCGGCUCACUGGCCCGAUACUGACGCUGAGGCACGAAAGCGUGGGGAGCAAACAGG
rnacentral:rRNA from 1 species